rnacentral:sRNA from 1 species
GAUAAAAUAAUUUUUGCAGGCAGUUUGGAUGGCAACCAUCAGAGGCCAGAUUAACACGAAAUGAGGAGGAUUCCGGAAGUUAAUGCACAAAAGGCGAAUCGGGAAGCAGUUUUUCCAAUAAGAAGCGCCCAAAGCCACACUAAAGCCAGACAUGUGAACCGGCGUUAGCGCCCC